rnacentral:tRNA from 1 species
ACCUGGGUGGCUCAGUCGGUUGAGCGUCCGACUUUGGCUCAGGUCAUGAUCUUGUGGUUUGUGGGUUCAAGCCCCACAUCGGGCU